GUGGAAACUGUAUCUAAGGCCCCCCCCCAGUUCGCCUUCUCCCAAACCGCUGCCAUCCCGGCUCAAGCGCGCUCUCCGCCCGCCCGACUCACACACUCCCCUCGUUCCAGGGAACCCCAACAUCAGGGGUCCCGAAAGCCCUUCCCGCCCCGCGCCCCCUGCUGGUCACCCCGGAGACACCUCCGCACCUCCGGGCGUGGAUUCCUUUGAACUCGCUCUUUGUCCUCGCCUGCGUGGGCCUUUUUCUUGGUAGUGUUUUCCAGUUGCUCGGCUGUGUCUCCAGGUCCUCACAUUCUAUCUUCUGCCUGACCUACUCCUCCUAGGAAGGCUUUCCAUUGGGCCUUCUCAACGUGAGGUAGGCUUUCCAGUGAGUCUUCUCAACGUGAGGUAGCCUCCCUUGAGACCCAGGGCAAUGAAAACCGGAUUGCAGCCACAGGGCCGAGCAAUGAAUGCCCUUGCAUGUACAGAACCCUUGAUACAUCCCUCCAGCAAUCCCCUCUUUGCUUCGUAAGUCUUCCAGGAGGCCUUGAAAGAAGGACAGAGAGACCACCAUUGUGUUUAGACUCCACCAAAGGGCAGCGUGUGACCUUGCAAUACUCCCCAAGCCGUUCUCCCUUCCGGACAUAGGAAACGUUUAAGCCCACCCUAUGGGUUUAAAGCAGCCAUUAAACUAUGGUACCAAA